GUAAGUUCCUUCUUUCAAUCGCUUGUUCAUUUCUGUUUCCACGAGAUGAGCUAUAAGUUUCUCGGUCUCAAUCUGUGAUAGCUGAGCAGAGUCAUCUGAUUCUGGGUGUAGGAGAAGCUGCUUUCUGAUAAAAUGCGGCAAAAAUUCGAAAAGUGCAGAAGCCCAUGGUGAUAGUUGAGAGGAAAUGUUAUCAGCAGAAACACCUUGCCUGAGUAAACCAUGAAUUUCCUGCAAUAGAGCAUAUAUUUCAGGAAUACUUUCAAUAAGCCCUUCAGGCAACAGGAUGACACCAUGAUUUUUAUCAUGUUCAGCCCUAGCCUGAACUGCAUCACAAAUUUGUUGUGUGAUGUCAAAAAUAGUAAGCUUUGAUGCAGCUACCUCCUCUCCAAGAAUCACCAUAUUAGGAUGUGACUGCAGA
rnacentral:misc_RNA from 1 species